GCUGGCUGUAUUAUAGUACCAAGACAAACAAAAUAAGAAGAUAUAGAUUAACAAGUGGUGAAAAGCAGACUGUCAAAGAGUCGGUCGAUGUAACUGGUUUGGGUAUAGAUGCUGAUAAGAAUCGUUUGUAUUGGAUGGAAUAUCAAAAAGGUGAUUUAGAAUCCUCUGAUCUCAAUGGAACAAAUGCUAUCAAAGUUGUCAGCACGAAUAAAACUAGAACAAACAUAGGCAUUAAUGUGUAUGGUAGCAAAAUAUAUUGCUCAAAUGGUAACCAAAUAUUGAAGGUCACAGUAACAUCAAUUACAAUGACAGAGGUCAUACACAAAGACACAGCUGGAAUCAAUAGUGUACUGUUUUAUUAUGGUAAGAAUCAACGUAUUGGAAAAAGGGUUAAAACAAAUUAUCUGACAUAUACGAUACCAUUUUUUUACACAAAAUUCAAUUUCACUAAUUGCAAAUGAUCAACAUAACAUCUAUCAAAAUAAUUCGCGUUUUAAAAAUCUAUAUGCAAAACGUUUCACUGUUUAGUGGAUAUAAAAAGCCUAAACAAUAGACUAAAAGUCAUCUUUCAUUUCAUAUUUGAAAGUUCCAAAAAUCCAUUGAAGGAUGAUACAUGUACAUGUUUUACAUGCAUUUGUCGAUAUUUAUCCAGACAAUAAAUCAAAUAUUUUACUGAUAAGAUUACCAGUACCAUACAUCAAAUGGGUGAAAAACUUGUUUUAACGAAUCAAUUCAUAUAUGGUUGAGUAAUUCUUUUAAUUUGAUAAUAUGACAUUUAUUAUGUAUAAUUAUUGAUGUCUUACGAUUGAGGAAUACAAUGUUUAAUUGUAUAUUAGUAAACAUGGUAAAUUAAACAACCACAUGCAUACCCACAAUGUAUAUUGCCCCUAUAUUAAGAUGAAUAUAUUAUAAUAAUGUUUGCAUCAAAUGUUUGAAUUAUUGACCUAAAUAUAUAAUGCAUAUAAUAUAUUUAUAUUAUUUAUACAAUUUUAUCUGCAACUUUUAUCUGUCAUUAGCUAAUGAUGUCCACCGUUUUUGUAUGAGUCAAUGUCACAAUAUUGGGUAAUAGUUAUGUACUGCUUGUGCUUUGCAACUAUUACCAAUGUUAUUUCAACUGAUCGGGCGGAGCUUUCGUUGUAAUUUGCAUAAGGACAGUCUAAUUGAAAUUGUGUGUUAUAAGGAUGAUUGCCGUUAUAAAUAUAACUGAUUUCUAAUCACCUAUCAGUGUCAUCAAAUGAAUUUACAAAAGAAUGACUGGACGAUUCAUUGAUGAGUUUAUUCUAAAACACCUAUCUAUAGAUGGACUGGUUUAUUAUGAGCGAACCAGUUGAACUCCGCCCAAACAAGUGAAAUAAAUUGAGUAAUAUAUGAUCAAUAUUAUCUCAUAGCUAUUAAUUCGCAUUACGUUAAAAGAUUGUCAACGUUAACUAACACUAGUAUCUAGCUUCGUGUAUUAUAUGCACUUUGGUUGUUACCAAUGUUCGUGGAAUGAGGAAACCUUGCAUUUUUAAGGAUAUCUAAUUUGACGUAAAUGGUAAGUCUGCAUACAAUCCUAUAGAAAAUUUGUAGUUCGUUAAACAUUAAAAAUUCGGGAUUUCUAUGUUUCAAUUAAAUACAAUCAAUAUUCGUUGUAAUGGAUGUCCAGAAUAUGAGGGAGCAGUCAUUUAUUCACGCUCAAAACUCAGACAUCAGGGGUUGAAGUCAUAAAACUUUGCUCAGUGCUCGAAGCACAAAAAUCAGGCUCCAAACCUAAAAUCCAACAUUUUGAUUGGUUAAUUUUGGAGUAUGAGUACAAAGGAAAAUUAGGUCAAAGUUUUAUGACUUCAAGACCAUAUAUGAGUAAUCAAUGAACAAAACAACCUAGCCAACUUAAAAGUACAACCGAAUAAACAUAUGCUACUUUGUGUACCUACACGGUGAUGUGAAUCAAUUUCCGGUAAAAAAGGGAAACAAUAAUAAUAAAUAAAAUAGACUGCAGAUCUUUGUUCUUUCGUAAAUCUAAUUUCGAGGGCAUUGACAAUGAACAUAAGUGGAAUGCUACAAUAAAGUUAAGAUGUUUUCUAGAUACCUAAUUCAAGUUAACAUCAAUCUUAUAUGUCAAGUUGUGUUAUACGUUUUUAAUGUUUGGUUUGACUUAUUUGAUAAGGUCAUAUUUGAAAUAAAACCUGUAUCCACUUUCUUUUUUAUCGAAUAAUAUUUUCCUGCAAACAAAAUAUACACCCCAUUAAGAAUGGUUUGCAAAUCAAAGAACGUCAUCUGAUGAAUUAUUGAUAUUUGAUUAUACAUAUUUUUAAAUUUGCACAUGUUAAUAUAAUGAUUUUAAACAAACAUAUGUUUUAUUAAUUUGAUAUAAUCAUAUUUCUUUUUUUCCUUAAGGACAUGAGUAAAAUUAAUGUAUAUAUAUAUAUAUGAGGUUUUUACAAACAUGAACUUAAUUAACUCUUCUUGUAUUCACAGGUGAGUAAUUCAAAACGUGUUAUAGAAACUAGCACAGCAAUGUUUAAAAGUACAUAUGCAUAACCAAAUUAUUGUUAUUUAAAUUUUUUUUUUUUUUUAAAUAUACACAUAUUUUUUACAAAUUGUAGCUUUGAUGGUGAUUUGUGUUACUAGCACUCAUACCAUAUAGUCUUAUAUCCACAGUUAAACUGAACACACUUUUUUCUUAUUGUUUUUCGCGCACAUUUGAUAAUUGCAAGUGUGGAUCAACAACAUAACAGCUUUUUAUCCGCAGACUAGACUUUACAAAGUAUAUCACAUUGCACAAACACUUGUCUACAAAAUAAUAAAGUAUAUUAUACACACAAUUAAAAUAUAGAGUAUCCAACGACGAAACAGAAUCAGUACAUUUUUUUUUAAUUAUAUGAAUAUAGAUAAAUAGAUAGAUAGAUAUAUAGAUAGAUAGAUACUUUAUUCUCUAAAAACAAGAUACAAGUGUACAGAGAAACAUACAAUAUAAAUACAGACAAGUGUUUACGUAAAUCCUGGUACCAGUAUUUUGAACAAAGACAUUUUUUUUUUAUUUGAAGGUUUUGCUUAACGUACCGGACUUACAGUUUUUUAAUUAACUUUCUGUUGAAUAUAUCCUACAUUAUAUGUCGGCAGUGGAAAUAAUUGAUCACUACUACACUUCUUGAACUUGAAAAUGAAUGGCACGAAAGAAGAACGUAUGGAUUUUAAACGACACAUUACAUUGUACAUGCGGUGAAGCCCAAUUUUGGAGUUAUCUCGUAUUUCAAACUUUUACCAAAAGAAUGGUUACAAGGACAUUCAUUAAUUUAAAGGAAACAUUUAAAGGAAAAAUAACAGAUAAUGAGAAUGCAAGAAUGAGUACCACAACACAUUUAUUAUACACACUAUUGACACAAUCGGACAAGCUUGGGAACGUAACACAGACUAUGAUGUUAAUAAUAAGUAUAUUCAACAGAGGACAUUCGAAAAUGUAAAUUGAGAUGACAUAUAUAUGCAUUAGCCAUACUGCUAGCGUAUUUGGGUCAAUGGUUUUAAUUACCAAUGCAGAAUAUAAGACAACUUGUGUUAAAAAAGUUCUAAAAGAAACUUGAACAAAAACAUUUACCGUCUUAAAAUGCAAAAGGCGAUUUAAGUAGGCUGUUUUCAGUGACCAAUACGUCAGAACGUGCAUGCAUUAAACAAAAAUGUGUGUGUUGACGUGAUGCGAUUUAAUUGUACCAUCUAAAAUAUAUUACAACUGAUAAACUAUAUUUUGUUGAAAAAAUUCUUGAUAUAGGAUUUAUAAAAGCAAUGUACUUUUAUAAUUAUUUAUUAAGUUCGAAAACAGGCAAUUCAUACGUUUUUCUUUCAUUAUUACAUGUUUGUGCAAUAUUGAAAGCUAAUUCGUAAAAAUGUACGCAUUAACUGCAUAAUACAUUUCUGUCAUUUGGUCUCUUGUGGAUAUUGUCUCAUUUGCAAUCAAACCACAUAUUUUUUUUUUUAUAUUUAAUCAAUUAAAAAUAAUCAUGAAUUUAUAAUUGAUAUAAUGUACCCUGCAUGACAUCAUCAUCCAUUGCAAAUACGGAUAGUCUCAUUAAAUGGAGAAGUUAUCAAACUUACUGUAACCGUUUAUACAUUUAUAUUGUUUGAGAAAGAUAGUACAGAUACAUACAUUUACAGUAAAUAAUAAUGUUUUAAGGUAGAUGGGGGGUCUAAUUUUUUAUCCAUAGAUUUUUUAUAUUUUUUCAGGAAAACUUAUUAGUGAUAUAUACUCUGAAAUUAUCAAAUAAAAAAGUGGGGUCACCAGUGUUCCAAGCUCAAAAUUUUGAUUUGAAAAUUUAAGGCAAAAUGAACAUUUUGACACAAAUUUCGUAUAGACUAUGAAGGAAAAAACGUUAUUUGAUACAUUAUUUGAAUCAAAAGUUGUAUUUCUGAUCCAUAGAACUUCCUUAUUUUGUGUUUUUGAAUUCUCCAAACAUUAAUUUAAAAGUUAAGAUAAAAAAAUGGUAGGUCACCGUCCAUAUAAGAAAGAUACAAGCUAAUUUUGACAAGAAAAUAGAUAAAAAAGGGAGUUAACUUUAAAUUCAUGAAUUGAAAAAAUUUGAAAAUAUUAUUUUUUUCUUGUUCAGAUUUUAAUUUGAUUCUUUAGAUACAGCAAUAGUAUUUGGUAUGCUAGUGUUUAAUAUUAAGAGGGUGAGUUAUGUACCACCGAGUCCGCUUUUUUUACUUGACCUUUGACCUCAAGGUCAAAUUAUUGAAAACUAUCUAAGUGUUAUAUUAUGAACUUGUAGUUAAUUGUCCGAGCCGUAAUAUUUUUGUCUUUUGAGAUAAAUCGAUGAUGUUUUGUGUGUUUUUGUAAAACCAACGGGACAGCUUGUUGUAUACCAUCAGGGAAGCUAGUAAUUUAGCCUUGACCUUUGGCUUCAAGGUUAAAUAAUUGACAUUUCUAGUAUGCAUGAUUGAUUGGAUGUCAAAACAUUUGUUUUCAUUGUUAUACAGAUUAAUAUGAAGUUUGUUAAGUACGUGUAAAAUCAAAGGAGGGUAGGUCGUCUGCUAUAACGACUGCAGUGUGACUUGACCUCUGAACCAAAGGUCAAUAAUUGAUAUUUUGUAUUUGUUGAGUUUGGAGGAUUUAUAUUUCAACAGACAGUCGGUAUUCCAAUGGGUACUAAUUGUGCACCCCUGCUGGCUGAUUUGUUUUUGUACUCGUAUGAAGCAGAAUUCAUUCAGAACCUUCUAAAAGACAAAAAGAAAAAGCACCUUGCGAAAUUCUUUAAUUUUACUUUCCGAUAUAUUGAUGAUGUUCUAUCAUUGAAUAACCCAUAUUUCAGCCAAUACUUACAUCUCAUAUAUCAACUGUGAACUUGAAAUUAAGGAUACCACUGAUACUAGAAAGACUGCUUCAUACCUUGAUCUUUUCCUCAAUAUUGACGUAGAUGGACGACUUCAAACGAAAAUCUAUGAUUAACGGGACGAUUUCAACUUCCCAAUUAUCAAUUUCCCAUUUCUCAGCAGUAACAUACCCUCUGCCCCUUCGUAUGGUGUUUACAUAUCACAAUUGAUACGUUAUUCUCGUGCUUGUUCACACUAUACGGACUUCAUAUACAGGAGUGUGCUCCUUACGCAGAAACUGCUCCAACAAAGUUAUGAGGAGGACAGAUUAAAAUUGACACUCCGUAAAUUUUAUGGACACCAUCACGAUUUGGUGGAUCCAUACGAUGUUUCGUUGACCAAACUAGCUAAGGACAUUUUUACCACAUGGUAGAUUGUGUUUUGUCAUAAUGUCGUCUAAUCUUUUAAUUACCAAACGUGACUUAUUCCCGAUUGUGACUGUUUUGCCGAGUGUGAACUCGCAUUACUAUAAGACGUGGUACGGUACUUAUCCAACCCAAAUUUAUGUAUUUAGUUUAAAUGUUUAAUGUUAUAUUUGUAAUUCUCAUCGGAUUUUGUCAAAUGUGUUGACGUCUUUUCUAUUAUAUGUAUGUGUUAUGGUAAAGAAAAUUAAUCACCGUCUUCAUUUAUAAGAUUUGAUUUCGUUCAAAGUAAUCAGUACGAUAUUUUACGUUUGAAGAUAGAUUCAUAGAAAACCGGACAUAGUUUUAUGAUAUAGUUAAUUGCUACCUCAGUUUUAUAUAAAUAAGAAUUAAAAUGUGCUUUGUUAUUAAAUGCAAUAUCAGUAUUUAGUUCAAAUAUAUAAUCUUAAAUUAAUCCUAAUUCUAUCUUAUUCAUUCUUAUGUGACGUCAUUUUUCAUUUUUUUAUGCUCUGUUUUACUAAUUCAAAUGACGUCAUUUUUUCGUCAUUUUUCAGUUUCAAAUAGGACGUCACUUGACGUAGAGGUUUAAACGUAUUCGGAUGUGUCUACUUUUGUGUUUCAAAUGUCUGGUUAUGUAAAUGUAUUUCAGUUGUUUCCUGUAAUUAGUUAAUACUUCAGCUUUAUCAUGUUCAUCUUUUGAAUAUUCAUUUUAUUAAAUUUACUGUUUGCAAAAGUAUAAAUUACUCUACAUUAUAGGGAUUUUCUGGUAACUUAACAGAAAACCCUUGCCGUUUUUGGCACAACCUUUUUGAUCUUUUGGUCCUCGAUGCUGUUCAACUUUGUACUCGUUUCGGUUUUCAAACUUUUGUAUCUGUGCAUCACACAUAGGUCUUGUGUGAACAAUAUACACUUCUGGCGUAUUAAAAUUUUGAACUUGUUGCCUUUUGUUGGCUGUUGUUCGUGUGAUUCUUUGUUAAUUGUGUUCUCCAAUUUAUUUAUAUUGUAGUCCUGUGUUGUCAUUUUGAUGUUAUAUUUCACGUGGCCAUAAAAGUGCGAGGUUUGGCAUGCCACAAAACCAGGUUCAACCCACCAUUUUUUCCUUUAAAAAUGCCCUGUACCAAGUCAGGAAUAUGGUCAUUGUUAUAUUAUAGUUCGUUUCUGUGUGUAUUACAUUAUAACGUUGUGUCGUUUGUUUUCUCUUAUUUUUGAGUGUAAAUUCACAUUGCGAUAAGACGUGUCACGGUACUUGUCUAUCCCAAACUCAUGUAUUUGGUUUUGAUGUUAUAUAUAUAUUAUUCUCGUGGGAUUUUGUCUAUGUGUGUUACAUUUUAGUGUUAUGUCGUUGUUCUCCUCUUAUAUUUAAUGCGUUUCCCUCGGUUUUAGUUUGUUAUCCCGAUUUUGUUUUUUUGUCCAUGGAUUUAUGAGUUUUGAACAGCGGUAUACUACUGUUGC